CCCCAAGCCACAAGGCCCAUAGUGGAGACGGCGGCCGCGAAGGUUCAAGACAGGCGACGGAAGGUGUUCCAGAAUCCAGUGCAGAUUGCAAACUUGACCUGGAGUCAUGUUCAAUCCCUGGCACAUCACAAUUUCUGCUCUGUUUAUUGGAACCACUCUUCUUAUGUUGAGGACUUGACGUAGGCACAGGCACCACGAGAGGAGAUUCAGGCAAAAUGUCCGCUAGUUGAGCAAGAGGAUCAAUUACCCACCCCAGAGAGUGUACAGGCAAAGGACGUCAUAUGAAAUGAUGUCAUAGGAGCUGCAUGUCAGGAGACUAUGCUUCAGUAAGGAAGCGAUGGGAUGCCUCUGUGAAAUGUUGAAGGAAGAUAUGAAACCAAACUCAAAAUGCCGCACUGCCUUAACAGUAGAGAUUAAACUCACAACCUCAAUUUCGUUGCAUCUGGGUCUUUUCAACACGACCUUAAUGACAUGUAUAACAUUUCACCUGGUCGCUACUGCUUUUGGACAUUGUGUUACGACCAGUCUCGGGUGAGGCCCCCCAAUUUAUAAUGAUCCCGGACGAGAUAUCCCAAAUUGUUAUGCUCCUGGGUGAGGAGGAAUGAAUGGGCUCCCCUUCUUUAUUCAACCCCUUAGUUGGUCACAACAAUGUUAAUUUAAAAGGGAUUCCUUCCCUUGUGGAUACCUUUUCCCAGUCCAAAAGUAUUUAUGUUUCAAAAAGAGCCAAUUUAUCCAGGCUGUCUUGAAUCAAAGAAAGACUGAGUUUAUUAGUUAUUAAAUGUGAGAAAAAAUAAAAGUGCAAAACACAUACGCACAAGUUAGAAAUGAGAAAAUUGAGUCCAAAAAUAAAAGUUAGAAAGAUAUACAAAUCAGUCCUUGGGCUUGUCUGUGAGGAGUAAGUGGUGAAACAUUGUGCCAUUACAUUGGGAUAAUUCCGGUAGCGCUGACUUUGCCAGUUGAGCAGUUAGUUUUAAAAAUUCUUGUUUCUGCAGGUUAGCUGAAAUGAGUUGCCCUGUUUCCUUUUCAACUGUGGCUUUGCUGACUUGUGACUUGCUUCCAGCAAUCAGAGAGAGUUUUUAUUACCUGCAAGUGCAGGGAUACCCAGUUGGUGUUCUUCAGCUGUGACCUUCACAGCACACACACGCCAGAACAGAACACCCGACUAGCACACAAAACUAGGGUUGCAGUUGGCUUUUUUAAACUACUUUCCUUGUGUAUCCCUGGAAGGGAGAAAACAAACAUGUCUUUCGCCCAGAACCGUUUUCUUUUCAACUCAAUUCAUGUUCACAGUCUGGGAUGUAACUCAACAGGAGGUGAUUUCAGCUGAGAUGGUAAUCAUUUUCCAUUAUCUCUGCGACCACAGGAGAUUACAGUUCAGCUGGCAUUGUAUCUUUUUCUUUGAAGUCCCUCUGUCUGAAGUAGGCCAUGUCACGCAUUUUAGGUAUGACAUUCCAUUCUCUCUGAACUAGUUGGUCAAGUAAUCCAUAGGAAUUUUAUGGCAAGUGGUUGCCUUACAGCCUCAGCCAGCUUUUGCUUGUGGGUCCUUUUUUUAAAAAACACAUCUCACUUAAAAGCUCAAUGUGCCCAUAAGUAAUUCAGGAAUAGAAUCCAUGGUCAUGACAAUUGAGCUUUGAAAAUUCACAAUGUAAAUUCCCUCCCUCCUUUCUCCCUUCUUCCUUCUCUCUUUCCCUUCCUUCCAAAAUAAAACAAGAGAACUGUUGUGGUAAAGUUGAAAAAAUGCUUCAUUUUGUUUCUAAAAAUGUGAAAAAAGAUGAGGUAGUUAUUGUUCAAAAUUUAUUAGUGCCGCUGCUUAAGUUAAAGGUUACUGUUGUCAAAAAUUUAAGAUUUUGUAUCUCUUACAUUAUUUUUGUGAAUAAAUGUUUUUCAUAAAAUCUUA